UACGAAGGGGGCGAGCGUUGUUCGGAAUUACUGGGCGUAAAGGGCGCGCAGGCGGCUCUGAAAGUCAGAUGUGAAAGCCCCGGGCUUAACCUGGGAAUUGCAUUUGAUACUCUGGAGCUUGAGUGUGGGAGAGGAGAGUGGAAUUGCGAGUGUAGAGGUGAAAUUCGUAGAUAUUCGCAGGAACACCAGUGGCGAAGGCGGCUCACUGGACCACAACUGACGCUGAGGCACGAAAGCGUGGGGAGCAAACAGGG
rnacentral:rRNA from 1 species